UUUGAUCCUGGCUCAGGACGAACGCUGGCGGCGUGCCUAAUACAUGCAAGUCGAGCGGAUUUAUCCUUCGGGAUAAGUUAGCGGCGGACGGGUGAGUAACACGUAGGCAACCUGCCUAUAAGACUGGGAUAACUAUCGGAAACGAUAGCUAAGACCGGAUAACUGAUUUUCUCGCAUGAGAAAAUUAUGAAACACGGAGCAAUCUGUGGCUUAUAGAUGGGCCUGCGGCGCAUUAGCUAGUUGGUAGGGUAACGGCCUACCAAGGCGACGAUGCGUAGCCGACCCGAGAGGGUGAACGGCCACACUGGGACUGAGACACGGCCCAGACUCCUACGGGAGGCAGCAGUAGGGAAUCUUCCGCAAUGGACGCAAGUCUGACGGAGCAACGCCGCGUGAGUGAUGAAGGUUUUCGGAUCGUAAAGCUCUGUUGCCCUAGACGAACAGCAAGAGGAGUAACUGCCUUUUGUGUGACGGUAUAGGAGAAGAAAGCCCCGGCUAACUACGUGCCAGCAGCCGCGGUAAUACGUAAGGGGCAAGCGUUGUCCGGAAUUAUUGGGCGUAAAGCGCGCGCAGGCGGACAAUUAAGUUGGGUGUUUUAAGCCCGGGGCUCAUCCCCGGUUCGCAUCCAAAACUGGUCGACUUGAGUUGUGGGAAAGGACAAGUGGACCUCCUCGCGUUCGGUGUGAACUGCGUAUACAGUUUGAGCAACUCUCGCUGGCGUAUGCAACCUUUCUGGCCCAUAAUUGACUCUCACGCCCAAAAUCGAUGGGUUACAAUCUGUAACA
rnacentral:rRNA from 1 species